ensembl:lncRNA
CAUUAGCCGGGUCAGGGAGAGGUAAUGUUGUUGUUGAAACAUACCUGUCCGCCUGACCCCAGCCGAAAUGUAAACACUGGCUUUGUGAUUCACACACCUGACAUUCCACAGCGCUCAGCCUGGCUCCGACACACGGCUCCGACACACGGCGAUAAGCUCCGAGGCGUUAGUGUGUGUGUGUGUGUGUGUGUGUGUGUGUGUGUGUGUGUGUGUGGUAGAUGGCGACUGUGUGGAGCAGUACCAUCAACUGUAUUCCUCGUGUCCCCGCUCUGUGUUUGUCGUAAACAAAAAGAGGGCAGUUGGAUGCUGCCAAAAUCCCACUCAUCAUUCAGAAACGGCUCCAAUGCCCUGCGGACAGAGAGAGAG